rnacentral:rRNA from 1 species
AUGGCGGAGGACAACACGCUAGACUCGUUCACUGGCAAGCUCAAUGGCAUGGAGGCGCGCUUCGUGGGGCUCGGAUCAACGCUGGAAGACGCCGCGUUGGUGAAGAAACUACUCGACUCCGUGCCGGACCGUCUGUACGCGGCGGUGGCCGGAAUCGAGGAGUUCUAUGAUGUGUCCACCAUGGCGUUUGAGGAGGCGCUGGGUCACCUGAAGGACUUUGACGAGAGGCUACGGCGACGCGGACAAGCGGGCGGCGAACCGGCGGACGGCCAGCUCAUGUACAUGGCGGCGCAGUGGCGGGUGCGGGAGCGGCAGCAGGGCAGCGCUCGGGACAACGACGACAGGCGGAGCGUGGCGUCGGGGUUCAUUACUUUGACAAUUUGA